rnacentral:misc_RNA from 1 species
UCUUUUUAUAUUUUUCUCUGUUUCUCGUUUUCUUCUAAACUCCAUUAAAGAGAGGUAAAAUCUAGGAUUUCAGAGAUGGGAGAAGUUGUUGAUGCUCGUAGAAAUAUCACUACUGGAAGCGAAGGUUGCCGCAAUCGAGUGAAUGGAACUGGUGAUCCGAUGUAUUUGCAAAACUCAUAUCAUCUGGUUAUGGUCUUGGAAACUGCACCGCUGGUGGGGAGCAAGUACAGAUCCUGGACGAGCUAUGAGGAUAGGUCUUGGAGCCAAGCAAAAGCUUGGAUUUGUUGAUGGAACCAUAAAAACUCCAGCUAAAGGAACGGAUGAUUACAAGCAGUGGAAGAGGUGUGAUUACAUGGUCACAUCGUGGAUAUUGAAUUCAAUAUCCAAAGAACUUGCAUAAGCCUUCAUAUGCACAACUUCAUCUAAGGAGUUGUGGGAUUAGAUCUCGAAUGAUAUGGAG